GAUGAACGCUGGCGGCGUGCCUAACACAUGCAAGUCGAACGAAGCACUUGAGAUCUUCGGAAGGAUAGUGACUGAGUGGCGGACGGGUGAGUAACGCGUGGGUAACCUGCCUCAUACAGGGGGAUAACAGUUAGAAAUGACUGCUAAUACCGCAUAAGCCUACAGUACCGCAUGGUACAGCAGGAAAAACUCCGGUGGUAUGAGAUGGACCCGCGUCUGAUUAGCUAGUUGGUGGGGUAACGGCCUACCAAGGCGACGAUCAGUAGCCGACCUGAGAGGGUGACCGGCCACAUUGGGACUGAGACACGGCCCAA
rnacentral:rRNA from 1 species